CAACAGGAUUUUCUAAAAUCCGCCCCACAUUCGAAGAUUAUUGACAU
rfam:Thalassiosira oceanica strain CCMP1005 To_g07603, whole genome shotgun sequence.